rnacentral:rRNA from 1 species
GCAACUCGACUGCAUGAAGCUGGAAUCGCUAGUAAUCGCGAAUCAGAAUGUCGCGGUGAAUACGUUCCCGGGCCUUGUACACACCGCCCGUCACACCAUGGGAGUUGGAAGCACCCGAAGUCGGUGACCUGACCGUAAGGAGGGAGCCGCCGAAGGUGAAGCCAGCGACUGGGGUGAAGUCGUAACAAGGUAUC